GGUAUAUGAAGCCAUUGUUAGGCUCAUUCAUGAUACAGGUGAUGUAAAUGGCUUUCUAAUGUUUAUAGUUGCUGCUUUUGGUCUGGUGGUAAAUGUUAUCAUGGCUCUUUUAUUGGGCCAUGAUCAUGGGCAUGGCCAUGAUGGUCACAAUCAUGGGAUUGGCCACAUCCAUGGGGAGAAAAUUACCACUCACCACCACCACCACCAGCAUGAAGAGCACUUGAAAGACAAGCACUGUCAUCACGAGGAGCACUCAAAAGAUGAGCACCAUCCUGUGUCUGAAGAAUAUGUUGUGCCAUUGCUGGAUAAAGGAAAAGGCAAGCAUGGGAAAAUUCAGCGAAACAUAAAUGUACAAGGGGCUUAUCUCCAUGUACUUGGG
rnacentral:misc_RNA from 1 species